rnacentral:rRNA from 1 species
AUUGAACGCUGGCGGCAGGCCUAACACAUGCAAGUCGAACGAGUGGCGGACGGGUGAGUAAUUUCUGGGAAACUGCCUGAUGGAGGGGGAUAACUACUGGAACCGGUAGCUAAUACCGCAUACAAUCAGAUGUGCCCAGAUGGGAUUAGCUAGUUGGUGGUGUAACGGCUCACCAAGGCGCCGAUCCCUCGCUGGUAUGAGAGGAUGACCAGUCACCAUGGAACGGAUACACGGUCCAGACUCCUACGGGAGGCAGCGGUGGGGAAUAUUGCACAAUGGGCGAAUGCCUGAUGCAGCCAGGCCGGGUGUGUGAAGAAGGUCUUCGGGUUGUAAAGUACUUUCAGCUGGGAGGCGUUAUCCGCAGAAGAAGCACCGGCUAACUCCGUGCCAGCCGCCGCGGUAAUAC